AUUGAACGCUGGCGGCAGGCCUAACACAUGCAAGUCGAACGAGUGGCGGACGGGUGAGUAAUGUCUGGAACACCGCCUGAUGGAGGGGGAAAAAUAGGGGAAACGGUCUAUUACACCGCAUACCAUCAGAUGUGCCCAUUUGGGAUUCGCUAGUUGGUGGGGUAACGGCUCACAAAGGCGACGAUCCCUAGCUGGUCCGAGAGGAAGACCAGCCACACUGGAACUGAGACACGGUCCAGACUCCUACGGGAGGCAGCAGUGGGGAAGAUUGCACAAUGGGCGCAAGCCUGAUGCAGCCAUGCCGCGUGUAUGAAGAAGGCCUUCGGGUUGGAAAGUACUUUCAGCGGGGAGGCGUUACCCGCAGAAGAAGCACCGGCUAACUCCGUGCCAGCAGCCGCGGUAAUUC
rnacentral:rRNA from 1 species